UUGCCCGAGUGCCUGUUGAAGAAUGAGCCGGCGAGUCAUAGGCAGUGGCUUGGUUAAGGGAACGGAACCCACCGGAGCCGUAGCGAAAGCGAGUCUUAAUAGGG